rnacentral:rRNA from 1 species
GACGAACGCUAGCGGCGUGCUUAACACAUGCAAGUCGAACGGAAAGGCCCUGCUUUUGUGGGGUGCUCGAGUGGCAAACGGGUGUGUAACGCGUGUGUACCCUGCCCUUCACUUUGGGAUAACUUCAGGAAACUGGGGCUAAUACCAGAUAGGAGCUCCGGCUGCAUGGUGGUGGUUGGAAAGUUUCGGGUGUUGGGUGUGGACUCGCGGCUUAUCAUCUUGGUGGUGGGGUAGUGGCUUACAAAGGCUUUGACGGGUAGCCGGGCUGAGGGGGUGACCGGCAACAGUGGGACUGAGAGACGGCCCAGACUCCGAGGGGAGGCAGCAGGGGGGAAUGUUGCACAAGGGGAGGAAGCCUGAUGCAGCAACGCGGCGUGCGGGAUGACGGCCUUCGUGUUGUAAACCGCUUGCGCCUGUGACGAAGCGUGAGUGACGGUAAUGGGUAAAGAAGCACCGGCUAACUACGUG